UUCUCGCAUGAGUUACUUCAGCGAUCGAUCGGAUGCGUUGUGAUUACGGCAGCUCUUUCGGUGCGUGUUAGCAGUGGGGAAAGCUGCGACAGUGCAAUGGUGUACGGUGAAGCGCAGCGAAGCCUGUGCGACAGUGUGGUUAUCAAGCGGGGAUCGGCGCCGGUGUAUCGACGGCAACUUGCACUCGACGGCAACUUGCUCUCGACAAGCCUGCAAUGUGUGUUUGUGUGCCGGUAACAGUUCGUUCGCUUGACUUUCCAGUCUCUUUGUUGGGAGCUGUGCGACAUUUCGGAUUGACAGUGUUUUGGCACGUUACUUCAGUGACCCCAAGUACGUACGGAAACGUAUGAACUGCUCGCUGAGUCCGAUUCUUGCUUCGCCAUUGGUUAGCCCAUACGCUUCUAUUUUCUUGUGAGCAAUCUAGUGUUCGAGAGUGAAAUGAUGUUCGUUGUGAACAGUGGUGCUGUGUUGACAUUCCAAGACUUGUGAAGAAGCUGUGCUCGUGUGACCGAAAAUUGAAAGACAGCGUUGAUAACUGUUUUGCACUGCUAAGUUGCGGUGGUGGAGCUUGGCGCUUUUGCUUGUUAACUCGUCACUUCUCCUUUUUGUGAUAACCAUAGUCAUAGCGCUGUGAUGUGAUCAACCAAAGCUGCGAGAUGCUACAUUCUGUUGUGGAUUGUGUUACUUUGGCAGCGCGCCUAGACUGUUCUUCGGUAAAAACUUGAGAGUUCUAUGUGGCAGCGAGAGCCCGUGAACGUCAAGCUUCCCUCCGGCCCCCAGAAAGAGCAAAUAUUUCUCCGGUGCCCAGCUUUAGACGAAGUCGUAGGCCAAUACCGCCUAACUACAGUUUUCCGAGUUCAUCUGGCCAACAUUUUGCACGGCACUAGAGCCUUGACAACUGCUGGUCAUGGCCAGUUCUUACAGGUACACGCCAGGCCAGCCCUUCAUUGCUAUCAUCGGCAGCUUCCAGUCUGCAGAUGCUCUUUGCCUGUUGGCCGUAGAGCACACUUGAUUCCUCAUGACACAGAAGGCUACUAAAUGCUGCCAUCGGAGCCAGGUUGCACUUAAGAAAUUUUUUAUUUUGGAAAAUUAGUUCCAUAGACCAUUACCACUGUGGGAGCACUAUACUUCACUAGGACAUCUAUAUUCCGGUAUGUAAGUUUUACAUAAGGCUUCAGUUUAUUCAAAAGUGAUUAUAGCAGAUUUUGGUCACUUUGACGAAGUGAUAGCUUCGUCAAAUAAGUAUUAGAAGUGAGUGCUUUUAAUGAUUGUUUUUAAGUAUCUCGUUUUUGGCUCUUAGAUUGCAGAGAUUGGUUUCUUAAGGUCCUGUGAUGCAUCGGUUGCAGACACUGGCACAUCAAUCCUCAUCAUGACUUGGAGCACCUAAACAAAAAUAGAAAGGGCACGUGCUCCCUAACUGUGCAAGUCUAUGUCACUGCUGGGACUGUUAUCAUUCAGCAUAUGUGGCCUGGAACCAUGCAUGGCAGUUUCAUCUGGAAGGACUGCGAUCUGCUUGGGAGCUUCGAGGGCAUAAAACUGCCUAAGAGCUGGCUGCAAAGUGACGUUCAGUGUGUUUCAAAGCCUUGGUCCUCAUGUCUCCGUCUAUGGCUAGCCUACUUCAGCAGCAGUGCGAUGCAGCCAGCACACAUGCAAGCCAAGUCAUGGAGCGCUCCUUUGGUGUUCUGUGCAGAACGCAGCAUAUCCAUCUGGCAAUGCACUGGUAUCAACAAUAAUGGCGAGUGUUAGUGGCACCUGUAGGAGCCCGUUGUGUUUGUUGCGUAUGAUUAUUUCCCCUGAUGAAGUGCAUUUUUGAAAGGAUUUCUUCGUUUGGAAUAAUAGAUGUCAGUAAGAAGCACACUCAUAACCAUCAAGUGUUUGUCUCCUAGACUGCCCUAUUGUUCCUAUACGUGGUACGGUGAGCUGACUAUGUUAUACAGCCUUAAAGUUAUGAACAUUGGCUGUUGUGUUGUAAUGCAGUCUAACUUGUGUUUCUUAGUGAACUUAUUUGCGGUCUGCUUCUUGCACCUAGUGUAAAGUCAAAAUAGAAGAAACUUUAUUGGCUUUAUAUACCUUGCAGAAGUUUCAUGCCUUCAUCUAUAACAUUGUAGUUUUGCUCUUGUAUCAUAAUAAAAUAUAUUUUUGGUCUUCACUGUUUGUGUGUGUGUUGAGGCCUGUCAUUGACUUCUGAAAAUACGACAUCUGUAAAUAUGAGCACAUAUUAAACAACUUUCCACUCUUGCAUGUAGCAUGGUUGUAACAAUGACCUGUAUUUUUCUAAGUUCUAGCACUAACAAGGGAUGUACAGUGUAUGACAGUCAUGUACAGUGUAUCAAAAACAGAGCACGGAAGACCAACAAGUACAAUGGGACUGCCAGUGACUGUUCUCCUGCUCAAAAUUUACGGCAGCAGAAAGAGCACAUUGGAUGUCAGGAGCAGUUUGAAUUGUAUACGUAGUAACAUUCUGUGCAGCUGCAGCUUAACUUCUUAGCAGUGCAUUAUUCAGCAUUCAGUUCCUUUGCUUGCAUUCCAAAUUAUUUAAAUUUUGCAUGGAAAAUACCAAACUAUGACAGUAAAUUAAAGGCUGCUGUAGUGUUGGUGGGCAAAUAUUUUUGAGCUGAAGUUUUUAACAUGCGUGUUAAGUCCCUGCAUAUCUUUGCAUUUACCUGUCAUAAAUCACAGCAUCUAUGGUCGGCAAUGGUAACUGUGUUUGCAUUCUUUGUAGUACAAGAAGUAAAGCCAUGGAUGCGGUAAUCAUGUACUCAGCCGAUGUAAUCCUUCAGUGUACACUCAUUUGUACAGCACCAAUGAUGCCAUGAGUGUGUAAGCUCUGGGAAGUGAAUCUAUGUGAAUUGUUUUAUUUGGAAGGACGAGGAUCAUCAUUACUCUUGUAUAUCUUAACAGUAGAUUUUAGUGCUUGUUUAUUGUUAUCUCACUGCCUGUCCAUCUUUCAACAGUCUACUUCUCUGUUUCUAGUGUGUAAGUUAAACUUUUUUAAUGUAUACUUUGCUCAGAUAGGUUUGUUCAUGUUAUAAUUGUGUACUAUGCAAGUGACUUAUCAUCCAUCCAGCUUCAUUUAGACUAGAAAUAACAGUAUUUAAUUAAUUUAUAUAUAGCUAUAGUAUGCAUUUACUUAUCUUUUUCUAGGUGUCUGUACAAUUGUUUAGCCCUACAAAGGUACAGGUAUACUCUAAUAUUGAAGCUGGCAUCUUAAAAUACUUUGUUAGAGAAGCAAUAAUGUGUUUAUAACCAUCAAUACUAUGCUCAGAUGAGCUGUGAAAACCCUAUGGAAAUGUAUUUACAUUUUUCUAACUCUGUGAAGGUAAUUGUUCUUAUGUUCUUUCAUUGUUGUCUCUGUUUCAUGCAAAUGACACAUAAUUACUUCACAGUGGCAUAGUAUUACUUGUUAUUUUACACAUAUGUGCUGAACAAGAUCGCAGUUGAGGCCAGCAGCAUGACCUACAUGCAGUGCACUAGAGCAUCGCCUCACAUAAUUAGUGUACAGUCUUUGCCCACCAGUGAACUGAAUAUUUUUCAAGCAGACUAAAAGACAGCUGUAUGGAAACUGUGUUGAUGUGCAAACUUUGAAGUCUUCUUGAGCAGUGUUUUUCAUCAUUUUUGUCCAAGUGAACUAGCUGCCCAAAGCCACAACUGGUGGGAAUGUGGUGGUUUCCUCUCUCCAAAACCACUCCUACCAGCUGCCUCAAUGUUAGCGUUGGGUGAUUCUCGAACUGGAAAAAUAAUUGGUCUUUGUUUUCUUGGCCGAAAGGGUCACUUCCCUCGUUGAACCACCGCUACGCACCAGGCAAGAAACUUUUAGCUAAAUAAAGUUGAUUCUACUUUUGAGAAGUGUUUUCGGGAAACAAAAUGGCGCCUAUAGCUGUCAAUAUAAACACUGUUCGCACCAAGGAGCUUAGUAGCCUAUAUUUGUAUUAUUCAUGUGUUGUCAGAAUUUCUUUGCACUGUGCCAAAUUUCAGCCCAAGUGUCCUUACAUGCUUUGUUAGUGUGUUGUGAAUGAGCCAUGCUAUUUAAAUAAACAGAGUGAUAUGGCAGACAUUUACAAAUUAUUGAUGCACAGUCCUUUUCUUUAGCAUGACAUUUUCAUGGGCUUUAUUCUUGUGUUUCUUAUAAAAACUGCUUGUCACUGAACAGCAGAAACUAUGCAUCAAGCUUUUGAGAGAUAAUUCGAGAAACACCGUGUUCAUAUAUAACACUGCUGGUGGAUUCCUCUGGUAAGUUACAUUCUGUAUGUUCAAGAUGAGUGUAUUAGAAUUGUUGUUUUAUAGCCAUUCAUUUUAAUAUUUACACUUGAGUGCAGGUAUGUAUUCCAGAAGGACUUGUUUUUGGGCUAGUUGGUGCAUACUUGGUGCAGAAGACUGAGGCGCAAAAAACAUGACGUGAAGCAGGAAGAGCAGGAGAAAAGACAGAACAGCGCCAACUACCAACUGUUUAAUGACCGUCUAGAAAACGCACUGGAAGGAACACAAAACCGCGCAUGCGUUCACAGCCAACAAACAUCGCACAGCGUCAUGAACAAGGCACUAAGUUAUCCAAAAAAUGCAUUUCUGUUGGGUACAACACAAUAGAUGUAUCACUGAUACAGUCGGGCCCCUUUUUUUUGAUAAAGUAGGCUUCCAAGAGCUGUUUAUUUUUUGCUCCUACCAAGAAUCACCGUUUUUUCAAACAAUGGCACACAUCCACAGGCUUUACAAUGCACUGGAAGAUGCGCAUGCUCGCUUUUGCCUAAACUAUUGGCAUGCUCCC